rnacentral:rRNA from 1 species
UACGGAGGGGGCUAGCGUUGUUCGGAAUUACUGGGCGUAAAGCGCACGUAGGCGGACCGGAAAGUCAGAGGUGAAAUCCCAGAGCUCAACUUUGGAACUGCCUUUGAAACUCCUGGUCUUGAGGUCGAGAGAGGUGAGUGGAAUUCCGAGUGUAGAGGUGAAAUUCGUAGAUAUUCGGAGGAACACCAGUGGCGAAGGCGGCUCACUGGCUCGAUACUGACGCUGAGGGACGAGAGCGUGGGGAGCAAACAGG